UGGGGAAUAUUGCACAAUGGGCGCAAGCCUGAUGCAGCCAUGCCGCGUGUAUGAAGAAGGCCUUCGGGUUGUAAAGUACUUUCAGCGGGGAGGAAGGGAGUAAAGUUAAUACCUUUGCUCAUUGACGUUACCCGCAGAAGAAGCACCGGCUAACUCCGUGCCAGCAGCCGCGGUAAUACGGAGGGUGCAAGCGUUAAUCGGAAUUACUGGGCGUAAAGCGCACGCAGGCGGUUUGUUAAGUCAGAUGUGAAAACCCCGGGCUCAACCUGGGAACUGCAUCUGAUACUGGCAAGCUUGAGUCUCGUAGAGGGGGGUAGAAUUCCAGGUGUAGCGGUGAAAUGCGUAGAGAUCUGGAGGAAUACCGGUGGCGAAGGCGGCCCCCUGGACGAAGACUGACGCUCAGGUGCGAAAGCGUGGGGAGCAAACAGG
rnacentral:rRNA from 1 species